rnacentral:snoRNA from 1 species
AUUCCAUGGUUUGGACAUUUUCUCAUCAGCUCAUUAAAUCUAAUUCCAUGCCUCGUGAUAGCUUUCUCCCUCUUUCUGUUGAAAAGUUUGAAUUUCCAAUCUGAUUUU